CAAGUCGCACGAGAAAGUGGAGCAAUCCAUGAGUAAAGUGGCGAAUGGGUGAGUAACACGUGACUACCUGCCCUCGAGUGGGGAAUAACCUCGGGAAACCGGGGCUAAUACCGCAUAACAUCGAGAGAUCAAAGCAGCAAUGCGCUUGAGGAGGGGGUCGCGUCUGAUUAGCUAGUUGGUAGGGUAACGGCCUACCAAGGCGAUGAUCAGUANCCGGCCUGAGAGGGCGCACGGCCACACUGGAACUGAAACACGGUCCAGACUCCUACGGGAGGCAGCAGUGGGGAAUUUUGCGCAAUGGGGGAAACCCUGACGCAGCAACGCCGCGUGGAGGAUGAAGUCCCUUGGGACGUAAACUCCUUUCGAUCGGGACGAUUAUGACGGUACCGGAAGAAGAAGCCCCGGCUAACUUCGUGCCAGCAGCCGCGGUAAUACGAGGGGGGCAAGCGUCGUUCGGAAUUAUUGGGCGUAAAGGGCGCGUAGGCGGUGCGGUAAGUCUGAUGUGAAACCUCCGGGCUCAACUCGGAGCCUGCAU
rnacentral:rRNA from 1 species